UUGUUUGCUGAUGUAGCAUCAUCAAGAUUCACAUGCAAAUGCUUAUGGGUAGGACUCUUGUGCUCUUCUCAUUCCAUUGGUGUUUUGAGAGUGAGAAUCUUGAUGAUGCUGCAUCGGCCAUAAA